AUUGAACGCUGGCGGCAGGCCUAACACAUGCAAGUCGAGCGGGGUUUUCGGACCUAGCGGCGGACGGGUGAGUAAUGCGUAGGAAGCUACCCGAUAGAGGGGGAUACCAGUUGGAAACGACUGUUAAUACCGCAUAAUGUCUACGGACCAAAGUGUGGGACCUUCGGGCCACAUGCUAUCGGAUGCGCCUACGUGGGAUUAGCUAGUUGGUGGGGUAAUGGCUCACCAAGGCGACGAUCCCUAGCUGGUUUGAGAGGAUGAUCAGCCACACUGGAACUGAGACACGGUCCAGACUCCUACGGGAGGCAGCAGUGGGGAAUAUUGGACAAUGGGCGAAAGCCUGAUCCAGCAAUGCCGCGUGAGUGAAGAAGGUCGUUCGGUAUUGUAAAGCACUUUAAGUUAGGGUAGGAAGGGUU
rnacentral:rRNA from 1 species